GGGGUCUUAGGGUCAAAAUUGGGGUCUUACUGAUCCUUAGGAUGAUUAGUUUCAUUUUCUCGAGUGUUUGUAUUUUGGUUUUUGAAAUUGUACUCAGUGUAAUCCUUCCAAAUAAUAUGAAUAAAGGAGAUUUUUAUGGUCAAUCAUAUUGUUAUUAUUGUUAUUAUAUAUUUGAAAGUAAAAUAGAAUGUUCCUUGAAAAUAAAAUCAAACAAAACAUUAUAUUUCAUGCAUCAUUUGCAUAACAG
rnacentral:lncRNA from 1 species